CAUUUGUUACUUCCAGGCUGGACUACUGUAACUCUUUAUUAUCAGGGUGUCCAAACAACUCUUUAAGAAGCCUCCAGUUGAUCCAAAAUGCUGCAGUUCUGACAGGUAUUGACAAAA
rnacentral:lncRNA from 1 species